rnacentral:misc_RNA from 1 species
GGCAAAGAUGGCAUAUGCGCUGGCAACUUCAUGCUAGACAGUACUAGGACUAACUUUUCGCCUGAGCUUGAGAGUCCUGCAGUAGCUUCGGCUAAUGAGAUAGACUCAAAGCUAGAAUGCUCGGAGUCUUGUGAGCCAGAUGAAAUACUAAACAUAAGCAAUCAAGCAGAGACUACCAAUGGAAAUGGAAGAGGGGCUUUGAGUAAGAGAAAAGGUAAGAGAAAAAGGAAAGAAGUCGUUUCAGAUGUCAAAAGGAGUAUUCAGGAGAGCGACAAUGUGUGCUCAAUCAGUGGCAUCUCCCCUUCCAACGA